AACGAACGCUUGCGGCGCGCCUAAUACAUGCAAGUCGAACGACGUAGCAAUACGGAGUGGCGCACGGGUGAGUAACGCGUGGAUAAUCUGCCUUUCAGUGGGGAAUAACUAUCCGAAAGGAUAGCUAACACCGCAUGAGACCACAGGGCCUGAGGGCCUAGGGGUUAAAAUUUAUUGCUGAAAGAUGAGUCUGCGUGGGAUUAGCUAGUUGGUGGGGUAAUGGCCUACCAAGGCAACGAUCCCUAGCUGGUCUGAGAGGAUGGCCAGCCACACUGGAACUGAGACACGGUCCAGACUCCUACGGGAGGCAGCAGUAGGGAAUGUUGCGCAAUGGGCGAAAGCCUGACGCAGCGACGCCGCGUGAGUGAUGAAGGCCUUAGGGUCGUAAAGCUCUGUUGAAUGGGAAGAAAAAAUAGACGGUACCAUUCGAGAAAGGACCGGCUAACUUCGUGCCAGCAGCCGCGGUAAU
rnacentral:rRNA from 1 species